AGGGCUGCAAGCAGGGCCGCUCAGUUGGAGCAAGUGAGGGAGCCCAGGCUGCCGUGGCCCUGCCCAUCAAAUGCCCAGAAAGAAGGCUUGAGGUAGAGAGGGCUAGGAUAGUUCAGUGAUGAAGCCCCAGCUCAGCGCACAUCAGACUCUCCAGAGCCCUUAGUGUGCUCUGUCCUGUGUAGGCUUGGCACGGGGAAGGCUUCUUGUCUCCGAAAGUAACUGCUUUGUCCAUUCCACCGAAGAGCUGCAUCUUGGUGACGGGAAAUGAUUGGUUCUGUUUUCGUGUAGUCCAACUUUAGCAAGGAAGGUGGCGCUUAAAGCAGGGGGCAGAUUCCAGGUCGCGCCCAGGUAUAAGUCUUUGCCGAGCUCUGCCAAAGGCAGGUGAGCUGAACAGAGUGACUCAGUCAACCAGAGAGCAGGGUGCCAGCCAACCUUCCCCUCCUCAGCCCUGUGUAAUGGGGGAGCCCCCACUGCCAGCCCUGAGACCUGUACCCCGGAUCUCAGCAAUGAAAAAUCCCCCUUGACCUAAAAGUAUAAGGAAAUGUGCACUAAAUGUU
rnacentral:lncRNA from 1 species